rnacentral:rRNA from 1 species
ACCCGUUCCCAUUCCGAACACGGAAGUGAAACGCUGUUGCGCCGAUGAUAGUUGGGCGAUAGGCCCUGCGAAAGUAGGUCGCCGCCAGUU